UAAAGGACAGGACAAGGAUAAAGUGAAACGGGACCGAGCUCGAUUACUAGUUCAGUUGCAAUUUAAUUUGAGGACAAAUAUGCUUUUUUUCAUAUUACUGUAUAACACUCUUAUUAUUUCUCGCACAUACUCACUUUCUAAUUCUUCAAUGCAGCGUUGCAUAUUUUAGGUUUAUGUUAAGAAUUUGGUGUUUGCAUGAGUAUUGUGUUAUGUUGACUUACUUUUUUGUAUAACUACACAUGGUGGCAUAACAACUACCAAGUUUGUGUCUUGAAAGGUAAAAUAUGAUUUGUUGAUCAUUGAUUAAAGGUCACAAAGUUGUUGUGCACAUGAGUGUUAAAAUCAAUAAAUAAAAUUACAAUUUUGGUUCAUAGUCCUGUC
rnacentral:lncRNA from 1 species